CCCAUAUAUAAACACAUCAAUAUACUAAUAGAGUGAUAAUCAUUGGUAAAAAUUUUAAGCCUAAGAAUUCUGAAAGAUAAACACAUUACCUUCAUUUGAGUACGCUUGUUUUGGAACCAAAAUUUUACUUGUAAAGGCUCCAAUCCUAAUUGACGUCCAAGCUCUUUCCUUUGUUUAUCAUCUGGGUGAGGGCAUUCCUUAAAAAAACUGUAAAUGAAAAUAUUUCGUGAAAAAAAUGAAUAAAUGUCUCUUAAUUAUUUAAUUCUGUCCGGCACUUGACUUACGCUUCCAUUUCUGUGAUUUGAUGCUGGGUAUGGCGAUGAUAACGCUUCUUUUUGGGUCGUGGAUUUGGAUCUCCAUCAUCACCAGAAGGUGCUUCCAUUAUAUCAGUCACCGAUUUGCUGUCGAAUUCAUCAUCCUUAAUAAGGUCCAUCUCAUUUUCUGGUGUUUUAUGGAUCAUGUCCAGCAAGGAAUGGUGGCUAUCAAACAUGUUUGGCUGAAACAUCAUGAUGUUCUUAAGUAACAAACUUAAAAUUUUCCAAUCAGCUGCAAGAAGAUGAACAAAAGAAUUAAGCGAAACAAUUUUAACAAAAGAUUAAUAUAAUUAAGAAAUAAUUAUAGUUUAAAACAAUUGACAUGAGAGACAAGCUUAAAAUUUUCCAAUCAGCUGCAAGAAGAUGAAACAAAAAAAUUAAGCGAAACAAUUUUAACAAAAAAUUAAUAUAAUUAAGAAAUAAUUAUAGUUUACAACAAUUGACAUGGCAGAACUAUACAUCAAGAAAAAAAGGAUUGCGCCAUAUGGAAUCUGGAAAUGCGAUUAGGGAAUAAAAAAAUUCUAUUAAGGCUCAGAUCUUGUGACUUUUGAGAGUGUGUAAUGUACGAAAAAAGGUGCUUUAGCGUUUAUAUCGAGAAUGAUUUCAUUGGAAGUACUUUUAUUCCCUACUUCUUUGUUUAAUCAGAUCUUGAAAUGGUUUGACUCUUGACACAAAACAGUAUAUCAUAAACACUUUUUAACAUGACAACGAAAUUAAUUUUUGUGGGAAC
rnacentral:sRNA from 1 species